GUUGUCCUGUCAGAGGAAGAGAAGAGGUCUGUUCUUAUGGAGUGCCACAAUAACCCUGGGACUGACAAUCACAGUGGUGUCAGAGGCAUUCAAAACAGAGUUAUUGCUGGCUACUAUUGGCCUUCAAUUAUCCAGGAUGUGAAAGAAUGGGUCAGAUCUUGUCACUGCUGCCAGUUGAAUGACCCCAUCAAGACUGUUGUGCCAGUCUUGCAUUCCAUUAAGGUAAAAUAAUCUUGGGAAGUGCUUGGUUUGGAUUUGAUUGGACCACUGCCAGAA